AUAAUGGAGAUGUAUUUGAUGUGUGGCGAUCUGCAGCUGAGUGCAGAUCUCAUGAGCAUAGGUGACCAUGAUGGAGUCCCAGAAUCGCAAAAGAGCCCCAGCAUGGACCAAACAGGAGGUAUGGGAUCUGAU